AGAGUUUGAUCAUGGCUCAGAACGAACGCUGGCGGCAGGCUUAACACAUGCAAGUCGAGCGCAUGUCUUCGGACAUGAGCGGCAGACGGGUGAGUAACGCGUGGGAACGUACCCUUCAGUUCGGAAUAACCCAGGGAAACUUGGGCUAAUACCGGAUACGUCCUGCCCCUUAGACAAGGGUGGGAGAAAGGUUUACUGCUGAAGGAUCGGCCCGCGUCGGAUUAGCUAGUUGGUGGGGUAAUUGCCCACCAAGGCAACGAUCCGUAGCUGGUCUGAGAGGAUGAUCAGCCACACUGGGACUGAGACACGGCCCAGACUCCUACGGGAGGCAGCAGUGGGGAAUAUUGGACAAUGGGCGCAAGCCUGAUCCAGCCAUGCCGCGUGAGUGAAGAAGGCCCUAGGGUUGUAAAGCUCUUUCAGCGGGGACGAUAAUGACGGUACCCGCAGAAGAAGCCCCGGCUAACUUCGUGCCAGCAGCCGCGGUAAUACGAAGGGGGCUAGCGUUGUUCGGAAUUACUGGGCGUAAAGCGCGCGUAGGCGGAUAUUUAAGUCAGGGGUGAAAUCCCAGGGCUCAACCCUGGAACUGCCUUUGAUACUGGAUGUCUGGAGUUCGGGAGAGGUGAGUGGAAUUCCGAGUGUAGAGGUGAAAUUCGUAGAUAUUCGGAGGAACCCAGAAGCGAAGGCGGCUCACUGGCCCGAUACUGACGCUGAGGCGCGAAAGCGUGGGGAGCAAACAGGAUUAGAUACCCUAGUAGUCC
rnacentral:rRNA from 1 species